GUGUAUAACAAUUAUAUACUUUACGUUUGUUAAAAUUAUGUCAUUUUAUUUAAUUAUUCAAUAAUAAUGUUAUUGACUAUUAUAAUGUUAAAGUAAAUAUAAGACUUAUCAAUGUCGAAGCUCUUUGUGCUUUUGUUUUUAAUACCUGUAAGGGUUAAAUAUUUAAAUUAAUGAGAUCUACUACAGACGUAUUAACAAGGAUGCAUUUGUAGUAGCAUCUUAAAAUAAAAACGAUUGUAUCAUACUCAAUUAAGACAAAAAAUAUAAAAAGAAGUAUCGAUACAAUAAUGUCGAUAUAAUAUAGUGCCGCCCUAUAGGAUUUAGAGACGCAGUGACGCCGGCUGCCGGCAGCCCGGUACGGCAGUGGCGCGCCGCGGGCCGAGUGUGCCACACGUGUUUUACUCACGCUCAAAACACAGCGCUUCAACUGACACCUCGACUCACUCAAACUAAACUUAAUCGAUAACACAAACUCUUAACAAAAACACAAGACUGUUGUAUUAUUCAAACGAAAUACCCGCAGUGCAGAUCUCGAUUAUCACAUUAUACAGUUUUAUAACAUGUCAUGAUGGCAACAUCGAUAUCGCGUGGCGCACCGGCGUCAACAAUGUAGUCAUAGUGACGCGCUUAUGUUGACAGUUUGACAGUCGAAUUGUGAUGUACUGUUGUUGAUGAAUAAACAUGUUUAUAAUGUUGUGAAUAAAUUGUGUUGUUAUGAGAACAAUAAUUUUUAGUAUAUUUGGUAUUUAAUGUACAAACACUCAAAAUGGGAAAUGGAAUGAACAAGGUGCUUCCCGGGCUCUACGUGGGCAACUACCGGGACUCCAAAGACACAGUACAACUCGACAAGUACAAGAUCACACACAUACUAUCCAUACACGAUGCUGCUAGAAGAUUACAUUCCGACAAACACUACCUAUGUAUAAUGGCGUCAGAUUCUCCAGAUCAGAACCUGACGCAAUACUUUAGUUUAUGCAACGAUUUCAUACAUGCAGCGCGACUCAGGGACGGAAAUGUUCUCAUACAUUGUUUGGCAGGCAUGUCACGCAGCGUGACCGUCGCUGUGGCAUACAUCAUGUCAGUGACACCCCUGACGUGGCGAGAGGCACUGAAAGUGGUGAGAGCGGGUAGAGCUGUUGCCAACCCUAACCUAGGCUUCCAAAGACAACUUCAAGACUUCGAAACUUACAAACUUGUUGAGGAGCGAAGACGGCUGAAGGAGCGUUACCCUUCGCUAGCACUGGCGGACCGGGACUUAUCGGAGUGUCGCAUCAUGUUGGACUCAUACCAGACUAUGUUGAGCCAGCGGGCCAUUUGUGAAGGGAAAUGUUCGAUGGGCCGCCAGUGUCCCACUGGCGUGUGCAGAACAGGAUCAAAGAGACAGCCGCGCCCGCGGAAACCGUCGACGGCAGCCGGCAUCGGAGACUCAGGGCCGGCGGGGAUGAAACGGUCUCCGUCCACCUUCUCCACCGCUUCCACCGCUUCAGGGUAUCGGCCGAGGUCGUCACCAGCUGGACUCUAUAGUUAUACUGGUGCGCCUUCGCGGCCGACGCGGUCAGCAUCAGGGUUGUGCGUGACACGCGUGACGGACCCAGGCGGCGGGGGCUCGGCGAUGGCGGUGGGCGGCAGCGAGUACUCCCGGCGGCGAGCCGCGUCCGCGCCCGCCACGCCCGCGCUGUCCCCGGCCUCCUCGCCGCCCGGCUCGCCGCACCGGGUCCCGCAUAGGGGUGGGUGUGCGUGGGUCAUACCUACGGUGAAGUGGGACCCGGACACAAUGUAGCCACGUCUCGUGUCAAGCAGUUUUAAUCACUCGCCCGCACUCCAUCAUAAGAUCCCGACCAGUACAGCGGUGUUCGUAGCACGCACCCGCAAGUCGUCCAGGAUCCGCCCAGUAUCAUGUGCAUAUGCCGGCAUAUACCUGUAUAUGCUCGCAUACACCUGCAUAUGCUCGCAUACACCCGCAUAUGCAUCAACAUCCACGUCCUUUAGAUAUAUCGAUCUAAUUUACGUGCACAUUUCGAUUAUUGUGCUUAGCUUUGAAGGCUGUGCUAUUGUCUUAUAAGGCCCCAAAUAUAGACUUGCUAGCAGCUGUAUAAUUGGCACCAAUGUUGGCCUCUGGUCCAAGCUUAAUCUAAAUCAUAAAGUGUUGGUCCAAAUGUUUGAAGUAAGGGAUGUAAGAUCAAAAAAAGCAAUAUAUUGUUCAAUAAUGAAUGUUUACGAAAGAAAAUAAAAUUGUGUUGGAGCUCCGUCAUUUGACAUUACUGUUCAUGCUUACGGUUACGAUUGCUACGCAGACGGCUACGCUACGUUUCUGUAGAACGUCUACAACCGAGCUACGAAAUUGUACGAGUGAGUUUAGUUUUCUUCCUGUCUAGUACAUAAGCACUGUAAAUAUUUCUGUAUUAAUUUAUUUAAUAUUACUAGCAUAUAAACUUUAUCUGUAAUUAAAAUAUUAAUUGUAAUACAAACAAAUAUUUACUAACAAUUUGCGUUUGUCUUUCUAGUUACAUUCACAUAUUUUUCUUCAUAAUAAGUUAAGAAUGUUAAGAAUCACUUUUUUUAACUAUUUUUAUUUAAAUUUACUGAUUAUGUCGCAAACAACAAGUCGUACAGAAAUAUCGGAGUCGUGGUCGGUGGAAUAGAAUGAUGAAAAUUGUUGUGGUAAAACCAAUAAAAAAAAUACGAAGGAAGAAAAUUAGAACGGGCUAAACGUAGCAAAAUUAAAAAUUUAUUGUGAUUUCAUCGAUUGAUCUCGAUAGUAGUUAUUUAGCUUGUACGAAGAAAAUAUCUGGCUGGUUCAGAUUUCUAUAUUAAGAUUUCUACUUUCAAAACGUAUCUCUAUUUCGCUACUAUCAAUCUCGUCUUUUUAAAACUUUCUGUACAUUAUUGAUUGUAGUACCUCUACAACACCUAAACACGUAACUUGGUCGAAUAGUGCAAAGAAAACGUGUACAUUCAACCGAAUUUCAAGAGAUAAGUAAUUAUAAAUCUUGAGUAAUUUUUUACUUAAAUGUAAAUCUAAACCAUUAUUUAAUCUAUAUUUGACACUUAAUUGCCUGGUUAAUUCCGAUUCCCCCAAUAAUGAUGCAUUAAAAGAAAUUGAAUCCAUUAAAUAAGGACAUUCGUCCUCUCUUUAUGUGUUUAGGUGUCAAUGUAGUAAUUGCUCAAUUGGAUAAUCGAAUCCGUUCCUCGCACGGCACAAUUUUGUUUUAGACCUAUGCACAUUCGGCCAACGAUCGGUUCGUAAUUUUGUAGUUAUUAAGUAGAUAAUAAAUACUUUCAUUGUUUCGAACGAGGGCUGGCUGAAAAUGCUUUGUAUUAAUAUUUAAAAGUUGAAUGUGAUUCUUAUUUACUCUUUCUCCUAAUCAGCACAUCAGCCGAUACUUUCACAGUCGUUUUUUGCAUAAAUUAGUUAAAUCAAUGCUGGUCGAUGUAUUUGUUGAAUGGCCUCAAAAAAAAGCAAAUGUAAAGAAUUUCCUGAGAGAAUUUCCAACUUUAUUUGCCUUAAGUCUUUUUAAAUGCAUCAUUGCCUAGAACGGCCAUUUGUUCUUGUCGCUUGUAACAACGGUAAUCUGUUAUCAAGAUAAACUUUUACAGAAAUUAUAACAUUUUAUCAGGAAGGUAUUCUACAAAGUAUUUCGCAGUAGCUUUGCCCUCAGAUUAAUAUAAAAUUUUUCCUAAUCAAAUUCUGCUCACUUCAUUAGGUAUUUCUUACAAACGUCUGUAGUAUCUAAGUUGUGAAUAUUUGCAUAUCUUUUUCAUCUUGAACAAGGCUUAGCCUGAUUUAGAAAAAAUGUGAUUUAGAUGCCUUUAGCACGGUGGCGUAGUUGUUAGUAUUCUAUAUUAAAUUUUAUUUACAUUGUUACGUGCACAUUGCCAGGUGUAGUAUAAAUCUGAAGUUACUUAUUGAAUACUGAUUUUGAAAUAUUUCUACCAAGUAAUAAAUGACGUUCUGUGGUCCCGCUAUAUAGAAUGGGUGUGAUAUUGUUUUCCCACCAUUCCUUUGUCGCCCCUAUAGGCGUUAGUAGGGUUGGCGAAUCUUACUUAUCUGUUGGGAGUAUUUUAUAUAAUUUUGUCAUACCAUCUAAUGCAUAUAAUAAUAAUUUAGAUAUUUUUUUCAUUAAAGAACUUGAACAAAAAUAAAUUCUGUUUGGGAAAUGACAUUGUGUCUAUUAAAAUAUGAGAUACCUAUUGUACUCAUUUUAUACAUUUGUUUUGCACUGUAAAAUAAAAAAUGUUAACUUAUUAGGAAGUACAUGACAGCCCUAUGAAGGGCGGGUGGCGAGGCCUCGUAGCAGAUGUUCAGACCGCUGCGCACAUACACCGCUCGAUAUGAAUUGCAUAUCUAUUUACCUCCAGCAACAACAGAGGUGUUAUUAGACGCAGAACUGGAAGUGAGGUGCUGGGUAAAUGUGAAUUUUAUUUUUGUUUAUUUUCCUAGGUUCACCAACGGUUUUCACAUUAUUACAUUAUGUUAUAGCUUAAAAUAGUGUUAAACUGAAUGUCACCAAACAACUUGUAGGUAAACGUAGCUUGCAUUGAAAUACAUAAGAUUAUAACAUAACUGACGGAUACAAACAAUGGAUUAUAAAAUUUAAAGAAAAAUAUAUCUUUAUUAUCUGGGUUUAGCCAGAGUUCACAUGCAUGAUCGAAAGAUACCUUUUCAAUUCAUUAUCUAUAAAAUUAAUGAUUUAGCGCAAAUUAGCUGGCUAAUAUUAUAAUAUAUAUUUUUGUGAACAUUACAAAACGUGAAAUAUACAGGUGUCCUUAUUUUAAUACUUGGCACUAUUAAAACAGAAUAAGUCCAAUAUUUUAGAGCCAACAUAAAGGAUCAUGGAACGAUUGCUAUUAAAAUGUAAAUAUUUUUAAAAGUAUUUUACAAAACCUGGUAAUGUGCUUGAUUAUUUUAGAAUUUCUGCCACUGUAGCUUUGUUACUCAUUCAUAAGUGUAAAUAAAUGUAAAGCAUAAGAUUAAUAAUUGUGACAGAGUAAACUGAAGGUGUAUUAUUAUUCCAUUUGUGAGCAGCUUUUAGAUACUUUUUUUCUGUCGCCUUCCACCCAAUAUAAAUCGCAAACAACCGACUAUGUAAACAGUGAAAUGGCGCGAAACAUAUCAUACUUGUACAAAAUAUCGGUUAAUAUAACUGCCCUCUUUUUGCGUAAGGGAUCAAAAAUAUUGUAAACAUGACUAUCAACGUUAUAUUCCGCCUUUUUUCUAAUAGAACUAUAGAGGUAUGUUUGGCCUUGAAUUAAGGCAAGUUUCUUUAUGUAGAUCUCGGCUAAUUAUCAUCAGCGAGAUCAGUCGCCGGUUAACUUAUCUAUUUACGUUUCAAAGUCGGUAGUUUGCGGUAAGCCUAAAGGCGCGUAUUUCGUAGUUUUUAAAUACAUCAUGCAACGUGCAUGGAGAGAUAAGAGAACCAAUACACAAAUAUAAUACAAACUUUUUGACACAUCAAUGUAAUACGGGUUUUCUACGCAUACAAUUCUUUUGAACAGGGAGAUAGUGCCGGAUUUAUACUUUCUCUAAGUUUAGGCCACGCAGUUUGUGCCACCCGCAUGUUCUACAUCCGGGUACUUACUUUACGGGAGGAAAAAAAAGGGUCCGAAAUAACAAAUGUGCCGCCCGUACCAUGAAAUAUGAUACGCCCAAACCCGCUGCAAUCUCUAGGCCGCGGCCUAUAACUACAACUUAUCCGGUUGUAGGUAAAAAAAAGGUUAUCAAAUGGAUAUUAAACAUAGAUGAUGAAAAGUGUAGUAAUAAAGUAGUUAUAUUAUGAAUUAUUUUAUAAUUAUUCAAUCGGCAAAUCUAACACGUCAUGUAAAAAUUUGAGAAUAAAUUAUACAAUGGAUCGAUAUCAAAAUGUAAAACGUUUGUCAGGGGCUUAAAUAAAACUGGAAAAUAUUUAGCACAGAAGGUAAAAAGCAUAGUUAAGAUUAUCCGUUAUUAUAUGUAUAAGAUAAUUUAAACCACAUAAUUAGAUGUGCACGUUCCAUGCAUAAAUAAUGCACAACACACGAUUAUAGUGUCUGCGAACUUUGUGCGAUGAUUUUAAUUGAUGUUAAUAAAAGUUACUUGAAAUAAUGUCCGUUUUGCCCAUUUUAUAUCAACCUUUUCAAAAUUAUAUACUAGGUCUGGAACUAUGAAGUAGGAAAUAAUCAUGAAAUAUUUUAACAAUGCCUUCUCGUUUUAUACCUCCUAGGCAUCCUAAAAAUGUUUAAGAGCCCGGUUUGAAAAUGGAUAUAAGUAUAGUCUAGUGAUUAUUUUACAGUUAUUUUAGCCUAUAAUCUUGAUUGUAUCCUAUUUUUAUUCCAAAAGCAUGUUCUAAAUACAUAAUAUAAAUUCAAUAUAAAAAUAAAAUAAACACGUGGUCUCUCAUAAAUGACAAUAUUUUAAGAGAACUUUAAGAGAAAUAUUUUUAUUGGAUAUUCAUAUUAUUUACUCAAAGCUAUUUAAAAAUCAAUAUAUAAAUCCUUUUCGUCUACCCAUAUAAUGAUUGGAACGUUAUGUAUACAAGUGUUGCGGGUACUAUCAGGUUCAAAAGUAUGAUACAAGACAUUAAAAAAAAUUAAGUAUCUUGAAACUUCAAAAUAGCAAAUCCGGGGCUUUUGUUGCUGACAGUACACGCCAUAUUCCGUCAGAAUGAUAUUAAUGUUAAGAGUUAUUAUGCACCCUAAGGCGUUAAAGUUUCUCAUUGAAGUGCUUAAAGUUAAGCAAUAAGAUAAUCUAUGGUAAGACGGCAAUAGCAACGUGAAAGAUAUGUUUAACAUAAUUAUGUAACUGUGUAUAUUUUUAAUAUAAAAUUUAAUAUAU
rnacentral:misc_RNA from 1 species